GCCUGAUUAGUUCAACGGUAGAACGAGCCCUUGGUAAGGGCUAAACAAGAGUUCGACUCUCUUAUUAGGCU
rnacentral:tRNA from 1 species